rnacentral:rRNA from 1 species
UACGUAGGGUGCGAGCGUUGUCCGGAAUUAUUGGGCGUAAAGAGCUCGUAGGCGGUCUGUCGCGUCGGUCGUGAAAACUUGGGGCUUACCCCGAGCUUGCGGUCGAUACGGGCAUGACUGGAGUUCGGCAGGGGAGACUGGAAUUCCUGGUGUAGCGGUGAAAUGCGCAGAUAUCAGGAGGAACACCAAUUGCGAAGGCAGCUCGCUGGAACGUAACUGACGCUGAGACGCGAAAGCGUGGGGAG